rnacentral:rRNA from 1 species
GAUGAACGCUGGCGGCGUGCCUAAUACAUGCAAGUCGAGCGAACAGACGAGGAGCUUGCUCCUCUGACGUUAGCGGCGGACGGGUUAGUAACACGUGGAUAACCUACCUAUAAGACUGGGAUAACUUCGGGAAACCGGAGCUAAUACCGGAUAAUAUAUUGAACCGCAUGGUUCAAUAGUGAAAGACGGUUUUGCUGUCACUUAUAGAUGGAUCCGCGCCGCAUUAGCUAGUUGGUAAGGUAACGGCUUACCAAGGCAACGAUGCGUAGCCGACCUGAGAGGGUGAUCGGCCACACUGGAACUGAGACACGGUCCAGACUCCUAAGGGAGGCAGCAGUAGGGAAUCUUCCGCAAUGGGCGAAAGCUUGACGGAGCAACGCCGCGUGAGUGAUGAAGGUCUUCGGAUCGUAAAACUCUGUUAUUAGGGAAGAACAAAUGUGUAAGUAACUAUGCGCGUCUUGACGGUACCUAAACAGAAAGACACGGCUAACUACGUG